UACGUUCGUUGGGUAGGGGAGCGUUCUGUAAGCCUGUGAAGGUGUGUCGUGAGGCAUGCUGGAGGUAUCAGAAGUGCGAAUGCUGACAUAAGUAACGAUAAAGCGGGUGAAAAGCCCGCUCGCCGGAAGACCAAGGGUUCCUGUCCAACGUUAAUCGGGGCAGGGUGAGUCGACCCCUAAGGCGAGGCCGAAAGGCGUAGUCGAUGGGAAACGGGUUAAUAUUCCCGUACUUGGUGUUACUGCGAAGGGGGGACGGAGAAGGCUAUGUUGGCCGGGCGACGGUUGUCCCGGUUUAAGCGUGUAGGUGUGUGUUCCAGGUAAAUCCGGUUCACUUUAACACUGAGGCGUGACGACGAGGCACUACGGUGCUGAAGCAACAAAUGCCCUGCUUCCAGGAAAAGCCUCUAAGCAUCAGGUAACAUCAAAUCGUACCCCAAACCGACACAGGUGGUCAGGUAGAGAAUACCAAGGCGCUUGAGAGAACUCGGGUGAAGGAACUAGGCAAAAUGGUGCCGUAACUUCGGGAGAAGGCACGCUGACACGUAGGUGAAGUGAUUUACUCAUGGAGCUGAAGUCAGUCGAAGAUACCAGCUGGCUGCAACUGUUUAUUAAAAACACAGCACUGUGCAAACACGAAAGUGGACGUAUACGGUGUGACGCCUGCCCGGUGCCGGAAGGUUAAUUGAUGGGGUCAGCGCAAGCGAAGCUCCUGAUCGAAGCCCCGGUAAACGGCGGCCGUAACUAUAACGGUCCUAAGGUAGCGAAAUUCCUUGUCGGGUAAGUUCCGACCUGCACGAAUGGCGUAAUGAUGGCCAGGCUGUCUCCACCCGAGACUCAGUGAAAUUGAACUCGCUGUGAAGAUGCAGUGUACCCGCGGCAAGACGGAAAGACCCCGUGAACCUUUACUAUAGCUUGACACUGAACAUUGAGCCUUGAUGUGUAGGAUAGGUGGGAGGCUUUGAAGUGUGGACGCCAGUCUGCAUGGAGCCGACCUUGAAAUACCACCCUUUAAUGUUUGAUGUUCUAACGUGGACCCGUAAUCCGGGUUGCGGACAGUGUCUGGUGGGUAGUUUGACUGGGGCGGUCUCCUCCUAAAGAGUAACGGAGGAGCACGAAGGUUGGCUAAUCCUGGUCGGACAUCAGGAGGUUAGUGCAAUGGCAUAAGCCAGCUUGACUGCGAGCGUGACGGCGCGAGCAGGUGCGAAAGCAGGUCAUAGUGAUCCGGUGGUUCUGAAUGGAAGGGCCAUCGCUCAACGGAUAAAA
rnacentral:rRNA from 1 species